rnacentral:rRNA from 1 species
AACGAACGCUGGCGGCAUGCCUAACACAUGCAAGUCGAACGAAGGCUUCGGCCUUAGUGGCGCACGGGUGCGUAACGCGUGGGAAUCUGCCCUUUGGUUCGGAAUAACAGCUGGAAACGGCUGCUAAUACCGGAUGAUGACGAAAGUCCAAAGAUUUAUCGCCAGAGGAUGAGCCCGCGUUGGAUUAGGUAGUUGGUGGGGUAAAGGCCUACCAAGCCGACGAUCCAUAGCUGGUCUGGUAGGAUGAUCAGCCACACUGGGACUGAGACACGGCCCAGACUGCUACGGGAGGCAGCAGUGGGUAAUAUUGGAGAAUGGGCGCAAGCCUGAUCCAGCAAUGCCGCGUGAGUGAUGAAGGCCCUAGGAUUGUAAAGCUCUUUUACCCGGGAAGAUAAUGACUGUACCGGGAGAAUAAGCCCCGGCUAACUCCGUG